GCGCCGUGGGAGGGGGCUGCGGCCCAUCAGGUGGUUGGCGGGGUAACGGCCCACCAAGCCGAUGACGGGUUGCUGGUCUGUGAGGACAACCAGCCAGACUGGGACUGAGAGACGGCCCAG
rnacentral:rRNA from 1 species